UUGUGCUUGAUGGAGGAAUUAUAGGGUGAAAAUUACUGCCCUGUCUUAUGCAAGAGGUCAGAUUAAAUGAUCACAAUGGACCCUUCUGGCUUUACAAUUUGUGAAUCUAUAAAGCUGAGGGGAGUUUGAAUGCUCAAAAAUUACUGAGAGACAACUAACUUGCAUAGGAGAUGACAAUACUUAGCUUCAGAAUAAGCAAGUAUUGUAUUGUGAAGUGGGACUACUAGUGGCUAUAUAAUUGCUUUCUAAAGAGUCCUAAAGCAAUUUUAAAAAAAUCUCUUGGGCCAAUUAAAAAUUGAAAAAUAUGCAGUAGUAAAUGAGAUGAGUCAUCUCUAAGAUGAAAAGUAUGAGAAGGUCCCUGCCCUAUAGAAACAGAUAAGAAGACAGGUUUAAUAUUGUUUAUAUUAGAAUAUGUAAUGAUUUCCAUCAGUUUCCAUUCAGCUGUAUUGCCUAAUGUGACUAAUGUGUUAUGUGACACUUUUUUUCUUUGGUUGCAAUUAUUUCAUAAUUAUUUUCACUUUAAAUUGCAUGAGCAAAAAGUUCUCUAGGAAUAAUCUCUACUUUCAGAAGUUUUCUCUCUAUUUUUAGUAGAAUGAACUCUGAAUGCAAGAAUGUAAACAUCAACUGUAGUAUUGCUUCAUAAAAGAUAAAACUUAAUACCUAACCCAUGUUAGCUUGAGUGUAAUGCAACCCCCCACAUAAACAGGUUGCACCCCCCAGUUUGAAAAUCAAUGUUGUAGACGAGACAGAAAACCAUUUUUGCUUUACCGCGUUGUAUCUGAAUUCGUGUUAUAUCAGAUCGCGUUAUAUCGGAGUAGAGGUGUAUUUAGUUUUACCUAAGACAAUCUUAAAAUGCUUUUUGACACGCUACCACCAAAAUAACAUAAUUUAUAAGUGCUUUUGGUUGAAGUAAUUUGUUCACAUGUAUAUCAACAUCUGUUUUGCAAACAUUCCAUUUUUUUCCUUAGUUAUUCAAGUUCUUAGUGUGUGUUCUAAAGUGAAGUUGAAUGGCACAGAAAACACUUCAUGAACAUUUGGGAACAUGUAUUAAAUCCAGAUAUAAGUGGCUUAUGUAACUUCAGUAUUUAUAAAUUUUAGGCCCUUCUAAAAUUAAUAUAUAGUAAAAUUACAAGUGGAGGCAUUUAUAAAAAUGAAGGAUCUGAUACACUGGUGUAGAACUGCAGUAGUGAAUCAGGCCCUCAGUGUAUUAAUAAAAUUCCUCCUUUUCUUUCUAACUGCCUCUCCACCCAUACACACAGAGUAGGAUAAUAGGGGUCAGAAAAGAAAAGAUUAUUACUCAAUUCUGAGAGGGGUCUCGGCCAAAUUAUAAAAUCAUAGAUAUGGGAAAAAACAAUCAUUUAGAUUGUCCAAUCCGUCUCCUGUCAAUGCAGGAUUGUUUGUUUUAUAAGACAGUACUUAUCCAGAUACUUUAUAGAAAGUGUAGUAUCUUUUUACAAUGUUCAUAUUAUGAUUUGCCUUUCUUACUUUGUUAGCUUUAAUUAUACUGGAACCAACUUAUUAUGUGGUCCAUGCCAGAGAAAGUCCAGUUAUAGUGAAGUUAUGUGAAAUGCUUCACUGCAAUUCAGGAGCUGUUCACUACUCUCUUUGUAGUAAAACUUCACUGCUUGUAAUGAAGGUUUUGCUUCACUGUAACUUGUUUCCACUGCAUUAAUGCCUUUGGAAUACAAGUGUCACUUACCAGACUAGUGGAAAGUACUUGAUUCCAAGGUGGGUAUCUUUCCUCUUUAUCUCCAGCCCCUUUGCUUUGGCUGAGCAGAGAGGGAGGGAGAGGAGCAGGAGAAGUGUACGUUUUUCUUUGGAUAGGAGUGUUGAGGGAUUUGCUGCAUCCUUUCCUACUGGGGAGUAGGGAGGGUUGCCAAAGGCUCUCCUUACAGCCUCUGCUGCUGUCGAGGGUAAGAGAUGCUCUGCCACCACUCCUGUAAUAGGAGUACUUUGUUAGUUAGGCUUCUUUGGCAGUUAUUGUGCAGUGGGUCCUUU